AAGCUGUGCCACCUGCCCCACCCUUUCCCCACUCCCUGUGGGCGUGGGCUGGCCCUUUCACUACAUAAAGGCGUCCACAGCUGCAGCAGCUGUAUUGAGAGGAAGCUUGGAAGCAUCUCAUCAGAUACAUUCCUCCCAAGGAUCCAGACCCCAGCUCCACCCAGUCUUGCCCACUGCAGCCCAAUCAGCCAGCCCCUUCAAGAUGGCCAGCAAGGGCUUCCAGGACCUGAAGAAACAGGCAGAGGAAACUGCCCAGGAAGCGGCAAACACAGCAACAGAGACUGCCCAAAAGGCUGUAAACCAGGCCACAGAGGCUGGACAGAAAGCUGUGGACCACUUGAUCAAGACCACCCAGGAGGGCAUCGACAAAACAACCAAUCAGGCUGCAGAAGCCAUUUCAAGCUUUGGGAAAAAAUACGGGCUUCAGAAAUGAUGGUCUAUGGAAAGAAGAAAAGGAAUAACCCCCCUCUCUCCUCAAGCCCCAAUCCUCACCUCUUCAUCAGGCUAGGCCAUGGCCAGGGCUGCCAUUUUGAAAGGUCCCAUGGAGUCUGAUCUCUUAUUAAAUGAAUUCCUUUCAUGUGGAGGGAAUGGAAACCCCA
rnacentral:lncRNA from 1 species